rnacentral:rRNA from 1 species
GUCGAAUGAUAGGCGGGUUAUAAAUAGUAGUAGUAUAUAUGAGAUAAAAGGUUUGGGCUUUGUGAGAAGAUUUAAGUGGUUUAGCUUUUUUAGGGUUGAAUCGUGUAAUAUUUCCAGAAAUGGAAGUCCAUUUAGGUGAAUAUUAAUUAUUGUGUUUGUACAGUAGGUAUGGUUUUUAGUUUUUUUUAAAAGGAAGCAUCCGAUAAUUAUUGAACCAAUAGGGAGUUAAUAGUAGAGGCGAUCGAAGUUAAUUAUGUGCAUAUAUUUAAUUAUAUUUUUAGUGAGUAAAUGUUUGUGUGUUUAGAAUUUGUUUUAGUUAAGAGAGGUCUUGAUGAGGCAAAAGAUUAUUUCCUUUUCUUUACUUUUUAGGUAUUUAUUUAUAUACUUGAGAAGGGGGGGUUUCCCCGAUAAGGUUUGAGAGAGCCGAAAAAAGAAGGUAAGUUUAUAGGUAAAGCAAUAUCUAAUGCAUAUUAUCUUAUAUCAUCGUUAGAGGAAUAGUACCGUAAGGGAAUUUGUAUGAUUACUAUUUUAGGAUCGGGCGUAGUGCCGUACUUUUUGCAGAACGGGCCGAUAAGAUGAAUUGCAAGCGAGUUGUAAUGCGUAGUGAAGUCGAGUUAUUGCGUGUAGUUUGUAAUGUCCCGAAGCUAAACGAACUAUUUGUGUUUUAAGGAUUGCCAUGGUUUUGGAAUGAAGAAAAGUUGGUUUAGGAUUGUAAUAUGGUCUGUGGCAUAAGAUUAUAUAGAAGCAUGAAUAGCGGUGAAAAGCCUUCGUGUUUAGGGAUAGCUGGUUUUCUACGAAAGGUAUGUGAGUACCGUCUUUAUUAUGUUAGAAUGGGUUCUAAUUUGUUAAGGUAAAAGGACUUUUGGGGGUUAGCUCAAUAGUCGAAAGGGAAACAGCCCAGAUUUAAGGCUAAGGUAAUUAAUGGGAUUAUUGUAAUAUAAUCAAGGGGGAGGGAAGGAGGUAAGUGAGUGGGCUUGUAGGCAGCCAUCUUUGAUUUCUAGUUCUGAAAGUUAUUUGUUAGCUUUGAGGGGAUCUCCCAUAGCGUAAUAGCAGUAUCUGCUCUAUUCUUUUUCUUGGUUUUAGAUGUUUAUUAAACAAAAUCUCUAUCGAGGCUUAAAGAUUGUUUGUAGGUAGUAGAGUGUAGUGUUGUGUUGUAAUGAAAAUGGUAACAUUAGUAAAAAUGUCGGUAUGAGUAGGUUAUGUUAAUUUAUUAAUUCUAUUUAAUAUUUAAAAAUUCGGUCUCUAAGAUGAUGAUGUAAAUUUGAAGAGGUAUAUAGGAUUAAAAACAGGAAGGUUCCUUAUUAAUAACCGUGUUAAGGAAUUAAAAAUUCUGGUAAAGUAGAUCUGAGGAACUCGGCAAUGUAGUAUAUUGGAUUGGAUAUAUUUUGGGCGAUGACUCUUUAUUAAAAGGAUAGCUGCCUGUUAAGCGAGAGCGAUAGAAGGGUGGUGUGACCUGCCAAAGGUAUGGGGGGUGAAAACCCCUUAGAGUGCUUUGGCUGUUUUUAACUAAUUGGUGGCUUUAUACCUGAGAGUUUAAUAGUAGCGUCAUCCACAGCCUUCUAAUUGGGGGCCAGCGAAGGUUAUACAGGCGUCUAACUGUCUUAGGUCUAUGGGAUUGAAAUUGUGUUGGGCGUGAACAUGCGUUCUUAGGAAAGAGGGACGAUAAGACCCCAGAAGCUUUACAGUGGUCUAUGUUUUAUUUUGAGUAAUCCUUGUUUUAAAGGGUUAUAUAAGUGGAAAGUGUGUAUAGGAUUUAUUUUCUUGUGAGAUUUUUAAUAUUAUUUUGUGAGAUAGUAGGCAGGACUGUUCGGCGGGGGACUACUCUUAAAAAAGUAACUUUGAUUUGCAAAGACGUGAGGUUUUUGGUGUGCUUUUUGCUUAGGCAUUGUUUCACAAGCUGUUUGUUUAGGAGUUGUGGUUAAUGGGGUAUCUAGAGCAUACUUCUUCUUUAACUUUAGGAUUUUAAAUGGUUUGUAAAAAUUGUUAAAGUAUAAAGGUUGAAUAGUUCAGGCGAAUUAUUAUUAGAGAAAGAGUGGGUUAGGUUAACGUAACGGUAAAGUUUAUUAAAAAAUCUUUUUUUAUCUUAAGCAUCUUAAAAUGGAAUGUAACAAAUUAAAUACUUCUUAGGGCAUUGUGAAUAUAUAUAUUGAUCAGGAGUGCAAAUUAUGGGGAUGGACGAGGCUUAGUUAUAAUGGCGGUUGUCAGGAUGUCCAUGGAAAUAGCAUUUUUUAAGAUUCGUGUGAAAAAUUUUGCCCCUUUAUUAGGUGUAAAAGCUGUAAAGAACCAUAGUGUAUCUGAAUUUGGGAUGAACAAUUUUUUGGUUGUCAAGAUAAAAUUAGUAGCUUGAGGACUCUGUUAUUAAGACCUGGCGUGAGGUGUAAACUUGACUAGGAGAUUGAAGGAUCUACUUGGUAUGUUUCUUUGAAGUUAAUUUUUAAAAAGUUAAUGUUGUUUUGUUUUUUGUUUUGAAGGAUUAGUAGUGUGUAUAAAAUUAGUAUUUUAUGGAGAAAUGUAAGCGAUAACUUUUAAAUGGGAAUAUUUAGCGUAAGGCUAAAGGAUCUUUUAUGGUCGUAAGAUAUAGGUAAAGCUGCAUUUACCUUUUCCUUGAUGAUUAUAAAAGUUACUCUGGGGACAACAGCGAGAUAGGGUUUGAGAGGUCAUAUUGACAACCCUGUUUUCGACCUCGAUGUUGGAUCGUGAUAUCCUAGGGAAGCAGGUGUUCCUAAGGGUGAGUCUGUUCGACUCUUAAAAUCGUACGUGAUCUGAGUUUAGGACGGUGUGAACUAGUCCGGUUUCUAUCUUCUUUUUUAAUAUUGUAGGUUUUAAAUAAGACCGUACGCAAGGAAGUCUUGAUUUUUUAGCAAUGGUGUAGGCUAACUAGAUUGGGGGUAAUUUUGGAUAUGUUUAAUAAUGAACCCAGAGA